AUCAUGGCUCAGAUUGAACGCUGGCGGCAGGCCUAACACAUGCAAGUCGAACGGUAGCACAGAGGAGCUUGCUCCUUGGGUGACGAGUGGCGGACGGGUGAGUAAUGUCUGGGAAACUGCCCGGUGGAGGGGGAUAACUACUGGAAACGGUAGCUAAUACCGCAUAACGUCGCAAGACCAAAGAGGGGGACCUUCGGGCCUCUUGCCAUCGGAUGUGCCCAGAUGGGAUUAGCUAGUAGGUGGGGUAACGGG
rnacentral:rRNA from 1 species